GAUCAAGUUAUUCCAGACUCACCAGCUACAGAUACUGGUCCUUAAAUUCUUCAACUUCUGACCAAUAGGAUUAAUCUAAAUAAAAGCUUUAGUAGGCUAACAUGUGGUGUUGUUGAAGUGGAUAUAGGUGCAUGUAUAUCACCAUCUUCCUCCGCAGAGACCCUCCAAGGUAUUUGCAAUGGCUAAUCGUUCCCAUGCGAGUAUCUAGUGAAUGUCUUUAAUUAUUCUUUGAAGUUGCACAUGGAAUUGUUAACAGAGAAAUCUCACUGUUAAAGUUAAGCCAAUGGAUUUUUUGUACGACGUCCCAACUACAGCUUUUGUAAUCAAUUUGGUGGAUGCUAUUUUCUUGUACAAUAUCAUGCAUAAUAUGAAUUGGAGAUUUGGAUAUGAAACAUCU
rnacentral:misc_RNA from 1 species